UACAACCCAUGCCACCAGGCAUUGGCCGGGCUGCGGGUGCCCCGGCACCUCACUUGGCUCCAGAGGGCUGGGAGGGCUUCCUGGAGGAGGAGAAGGCUGAGCUCAGCUAGGAAUCAGGAGCAUGGAGUGCAAAGGAGAGCUGAGAUUAACACUGUGACAAAGAUGGCAGUGUCCGAAGUUUGGGAACGUGCUGUCAUGAUAUCACAGAAUGUUGACCAUACCCUGGGGAGGAUGAUGCCCAACCCACUGAGCCACACCGGUCAGGACUAGGGGAACACGUUUCUGCUGGCUGGAGCUGAUUCACUCUGUCCUCUGCAGAGGGACAUGGCUCUCCACUUGCCACUGUCCCUCCCUCUUCCUAUUGCAGUUCCAAUGACGAACAGACCCCUGCCUGGCCCUGCAAAUAUUUGAGUGGUCUUCUCCUCCCCAAGCCCUGUGACCUCCGUGCACUCAUGGGAGAAACAUAAAAUCCGUGACCAGUGCCGUUCAAGACGGUCAAGGUCACUGAAAACGAGGAGAGUCUGAGACACUGUCGCAGCCGGGAGGAGCCCAAGGAGACGUGUCCGCUAAAUGACACGCAGUGUCCUGGGUGGGAUCCUGGGACAGAAAAAGGACAUGUAGUAAAAACUAAAGAAAUCCGAAUAAAGAGUGAACUUCGGGGAAAUAAUGAUGUAUUAACAUUGGUUCAAUAAUUGUGACCAGGGUGCCAUAUUAAUGAACCUGUUAAUAACAAGGGAACGGGGCUGGGGGUGCACGGUGACAUUCCGUACUGUCUAUGCAAGUUUCAGGUUUCCAUUGCUGUAAAUCUGUAACUAUUCUAAAAUUAAAAGUGUUUUGCAUCCCUACACCCAAGCAUGUAAAAGU